GUCCCCGUAGCUCAGCAGGAUAGAGCGGUCGCCUCCUAAGCGACAGGUCGUUGGUUCGAAUCCAAUCGGGGACGCCA
rnacentral:tRNA from 1 species